rnacentral:lncRNA from 1 species
AUGAUAAAAUGUCUUAAGUAAAGGAUUUAUGGUAUAAAGAAUUAAAUUCUUUAUGUUAUUAAUUACUAGUAUAUGUGCUAUUUGUUUUGCUAUAAAUGGAAAUGUAUGUUGAAUUUUAAUGCAUUUAUGAUUGUAAAUGAUUUUAUGAAAUUUGUUUUUAAGUAAGUUGCCAUCGCAACUUUGGUAAGUAUGUGAAUUAUGAGCACCACUGAGUUUUAUACUCAGCGCGUCGAUUUUUAUCACGCGUAGGUUGAAGAUUGCGGUCGCUACUUGAAGAUUUGAAAAGUAAUAUCAAAGCAGAAGUGACUAAUUUGGUAGUAGUCGAUUGAGAUUUAUAUAAUGAAGAAUGAUGGCAUGUAUAAUUGUUACAUUUUCAGAUAUUAUGUUAUUUGAAAUAUAAUUGAAGUAUGUAAUUAUAAAGUAUUUUGAUGUAUAUAUUUGGAGAGAAGAAUAAGAUUUAUUAAAUGAUUGAAUAUGAAAUAUUUGAAGUCAGUUGAUAUGAUUAGUUCAUUAAGACUUGAUAGAUAUAAUGAAUGC